UUUAUGGAGAGUUUGAUCUUGGCUCAGGACGAACGCUGGCGGCGUGCCUAAUACAUGCAAGUCGAGCGCAGGAAGCAAGCUGAUCCCUUCGGGGUGACGCUUGUGGAAUGAGCGGCGGACGGGUGAGUAACACGUGGGCAACCUGCCUGUAAGACUGGGAUAACUCCGGGAAACCGGUGCUAAUACCGGAUAAUACUUUUACUCUCAUGAGUUUAAGUUGAAAGAUGGCUUUUAGCUAUCACUUACAGAUGGGCCCGCGGCGCAUUAGCUAGUUGGUGGGGUAAUGGCCUACCAAGGCGACGAUGCGUAGCCGACCUGAGAGGGUGAUCGGCCACACUGGGACUGAGACACGGCCCAGACU
rnacentral:rRNA from 1 species